rnacentral:rRNA from 1 species
GACGAACGCUGGCGGCGUGCCUAAUACAUGCAAGUCGAACGCUUUUUCUUUCACCGGAGCUUGCUCCACCGAAAGAAAAAGAGUGGCGAACGGGUGAGUAACACGUGGGUAACCUGCCCAUCAGAAGGGGAUAACACUUGGAAACAGGUGCUAAUACCGUAUAACACUAUUUUCCGCAUGGAAGAAAGUUGAAAGGCGCUUUUGCGUCACUGAUGGAUGGACCCGCGGUGCAUUAGCUAGUUGGUGAGGUAACGGCUCACCAAGGCAACGAUGCAUAGCGGACGUGAGAGGUUGAUCGGCCACACUGGACAUUAGACACGGCCCAGACUCCUUCGGGAGGUAGCAGUAGGGAAUCUUCGGCAAUGGACGAAAGUCUGACCGAGCAACGCCGCGUGAGUGAAGAAGGUUUUAGGAUCGUAAAACUCUGUUGUUAGAGAAGAACAAGGGUGAGAGUAAAACGUUCAUCCCUUGACGGUAUCUAACCAGAAAGCCACGGCUAACUACGUGCCAGCCGCCGCAGUAA